rnacentral:lncRNA from 1 species
UUUUGUUAUAAAAUUAAAUAUACAUUUACUAUUUAUACGUUUAUAUAUAUUGAAAAUGGAUUCUGGAUUGUAUUACAAGAGUAGGAUUGUACAUAUUGAAAGGGAUACUGGAUAUUUGACCUUAUCAGGUGUUAUUCACCUGACAUCUUUCCUAUGCUGUGGACAUAAAGAAGAUGGAAGCAAAUGCAAGAUGAGGUCUGUAGAUAGAAGACAUUGGUGCAAAGAUACAAGCCACACCUGGACCUCUAAACAGCAAGAUGCAUGGUAGUAAGUGGUGCAGACAAAUACAAACAGAACCCAGUUGAUUUACUGUCAAACACCAUUGUGGUACCUGUAUGAUGUACAUGUAAUAGGGUGGGAUGCAGCACCUACAGCCAAAAUCAAAAUUGAAAUGGAAAAUAAUAAGCAAGGUAAAGUAUGAUGAAGAGUAUGAGUACAGAAUGGUCAGUUACUUGUAAGCUGGGAUGAAAACAGCCAUUU